rnacentral:rRNA from 2 species
GGCCACUGCUAUCGGAGUUCGAUUAAGCCAUGCGAGUCGAGAGGUGCAAGACCUCGGCAUACUGCUCAGUAACACGUGGACAAUCUAACCUAUGGAAGGGGAUAACCCCGGGAAACUGGGGAUAAUACCCUAUAGACUAUGGAUGCUGGAAUGCUUUGUAGUCGAAAGGUCCGCCGCCAUAGGAUGGGUCUGCGGCCGAUUAGGUUGUUGUUGGGGUAACGGCCCAACAAGCCUGUAAUCGGUACGGGUUGUGGGAGCAAGAGCCCGGAGAUGGAUUCUGAGACACGAAUCCAGGCCCUACGGGGCGCAGCAGGCGCGAAAACUUUGCAAUGCGGGAAACCGUGACAGGGGAACUCCGAGUGCCCGUAAAAUCGGGCUGUCCAUCAGUUUAAAUAACUGGUGAAGAAAGGGCCGGGCAAGACCGGUGCCAGCCGCCGCGGUAAUACCGGCGGCUCGAGUGGUGGCCACUAUUACUGGGCUUAAAGCGUUCGUAGCUGGUUUGUUAAGUCUCUGGGGAAAUCUUCCGGCUCAACCGGAAGGCGUCUCAGGGAUACUGGCAGACUAGGGACCGGGAGAGGUGAGGGGUACUCCAGGGGUAGGAGUGAAAUCCUGUAAUCCUUGGGGGACCACCUGUGGCGAAGGCGCCUCACCAGAACGGCUCCGACAGUGAGGGACGAAAGCUGGGGGAGCAAACCGGAUUAGAUACCCGGGUAGUCCCAGCUGUAAACGAUGCGCGUUAGGUGUAUCGGUGACCACGAGUUACCGAGGUGCCGAAGAGAAAUCGUGAAACGUGCCGCCUGGGAAGUACGGUCGCAAGGCUGAAACUUAA